AUUGAACGCUGGCGGCAGGCUUAACACAUGCAAGUCGAGCGGAGUGAUGGUGCUUGCACUAUCACUUAGCGGCGGACGGGCGAGCAAUGCUUAGGAAUCUGCCUAUUAGUGGGGGACAACACCUCGAAAGGGAUGCUAAUACCGCAUACGUCCUACGGGAGAAAGCAGGGGAUCACUUGUGACCUUGCGCUAAUAGAUGAGCCUAAGUCGGAUUAGCUAGUUGGUGGGGUAAAGGCCUACCAAGGCGACGAUCUGUAGCGGGUCUGAGAGGAUGAUCCGCCACACUGGGACUGAGACGCGGCCCAGACUCCUACGGGAGGCAGCAGUGGGGAAUAUUGGACAAUGGGGGGAGACCUGAUCCAGUCAUGCCGCGUGUGUGAAGAAGGCCUUAUGGUUGUAAAGCACUUUAAGCGAGGAGGAGGCUCUUUUGGUUAAUACCCAAGAUGAGUGGACGUUACUCGCAGAAUAAGCACCGGCUAACUCUGUGCCAGCAGCCGCCGCCG
rnacentral:rRNA from 1 species